GCUUGCUUUGGCAAUGCAUAGACUAAAACUGGAAUGAUACAGAGAAGAUUAGCAUGGCCCCUGUAGAAGGAUGACAUGCAAAUUUGUGGAGUAUUCCACAUUUUU
ensembl:snRNA U6 U6 spliceosomal RNA